UGAAGAAAAUGAUGAAAGAGAUGUGAAAGGGUGAUGAUCUUUCGAUUUAAAAUGAUCAGAAUAAUAUCUCUUCGCUACGUUCUUUCUGAUUCUAAA